AGAGUUUGAUCAUGGCUCAGAACGAACGCUGGCGGCAGGCUUAACACAUGCAAGUCGAACGCCCUCUUCGGAGGGAGUGGCAGACGGGUGAGUAACGCGUGGGAACGUACCCUUCGGUUCGGAAUAACCCGGGGAAACUCGGGCUAAUACCGGAUACGUCCGCAAGGAGAAAGAUUUAUUGCCGAAGGAUCGGCCCGCGUCCGAUUAGCUAGUUGGUGGGGUAAUGGCCCACCAAGGCGACGAUCGGUAGCUGGUCUGAGAGGAUGAUCAGCCACACUGGGACUGAGACACGGCCCAGACUCCUACGGGAGGCAGCAGUGGGGAAUAUUGGACAAUGGGCGAAAGCCUGAUCCAGCCAUGCCGCGUGAGUGAAGAAGGCCUUAGGGUUGUAAAGCUCUUUCGCCGAUGAAGAUAAUGACGGUAGUCGGAGAAGAAGCCCCGGCUAACUUCGUGCCAGCAGCCGCGGUAAUACGAAGGGGGCUAGCGUUGUUCGGAUUUACUGGGCGUAAAGCGCGCGUAGGCGGGUUGUUAAGUCAGGGGUGAAAUGCCGAGGCUCAACCUCGGAACUGCCUUUGAUACUGGCAACCUGGAGUUCGGGAGAGGUGAGUGGAAUUCCGAGUGUAGAGGUGAAAUUCGUAGAUAUUCGGAGGAACACCAGAAGCGAAGGCGGCUCACUGGCCCGAUACUGACGCUGAGGCGCGAAAGCGUGGGGAGCAAACAGGAUUAGAUACCCUAGUAGUCC
rnacentral:rRNA from 1 species